GGGUGAGUUAGGCGACCCAUUUUCUUAAGAAGUGUAGAAUGUGAAUCACCAAAAUAAUUAAGCACCAUAAUUUUUCUUCACUGGAUUUUUCAUUCGAGAUUAGAAGUGACAUGUCUUAAGUUAAUCAGGAUGUGGAAUUUAACGUUUGCAAUCCUUGGCUAAGCUCAUUGAUUGUGUGGUUGUGAUGUUCUUGCUAGAAUAGUA
rnacentral:misc_RNA from 1 species